rnacentral:rRNA from 1 species
UGGGGAAUAUUGCACAAUGGGCGAAAGCCUGAUGCAGCAACGCCGCGUGAGUGAUGAAGGUCUUCGGAUUGUAAAGCUCUGUCUUUUGGGACGAUAAUGACGGUACCAAAGGAGGAAGCCACGGCUAACUACGUGCCAGCAGCCGCGGUAAUACGUAGGUGGCGAGCGUUGUCCGGAUUUACUGGGCGUAAAGGGUGCGUAGGCGGAUGUUUAAGUGAGAUGUGAAAUACCCGGGCUUAACUUGGGUGCUGCAUUUCAAACUGGAUAUCUAGAGUGCAGGAGAGGAGAAUGGAAUUCCUAGUGUAGCGGUGAAAUGCGUAGAGAUUAGGAAGAACACCAGUGGCGAAGGCGAUUCUCUGGACUGUAACUGACGCUGAGGCACGAAAGCGUGGGUAGCAAACAGGAUUAGAUACCCUGGUAGUCCACGCCGUAAAACGAUGAGUACUAGGUGUAGGAGGUAUCGACCCCUUCUGUGCCGCAGUAAAACACAUUAAAGUACU